rnacentral:rRNA from 1 species
AUAGGGGAAUAAAGAUGAGUACGCGUACUCAGUUGUAGGUACCCUAAGAAUAAGGAUCGGCUAACUCCGUGCCAGCAGCCGCGGUAAUACGGAGGAUCCGAGCGUUAUCCGGAUUUAUUGGGUUUAAAGGGUGCGUAGGCGGGUUGAUAAGUCAGUGGUGAAAGGUUUGCGCUCAACGUAGACAUUGCCAUUGAAACUGUCAGUCUUGAGUACAAAUGAGGUAGGCGGAAUGUGUUGUGUAGCGGUGAAAUGCAUAGAUAUGACACAGAACACCAAUUGCGAAGGCAGCUUACUGGGAUGUAACUGACGCUGAGGCACGAAAGCGUGGGGAUCAAACAGGAUUAGAUACCCUGGUAGUCCACGCAGUAAACGAUGAUUACUAGCUGUUAGCGAUAGAAUGUUAGUGGCUAAGCGAAAGCGAUAAGUAAUCCACCUGGGGAGUACGACCGCAAGGUUGAAAC